AGUCGCGAUACAGAUGUGUUUGGCAAAAUUAUUCCCAGUAUUGAUUAUUCUUUGAAUAGGAAGGUAAUAGGAUAAGUGCUAAGGCCACGGAGUACGGCGAAGGUGGAAGCUUAUACAGUUGGCGUUGGCCGUCACCAAGAUGUCUACCACUGCGACGGCCCGGUGUAGCGAUGAUACCACAUUUUGGUUGGACGACGCUAGACUGCGAACAAACCGGCAUCGGCAGUAUCAAAUCGAGUGGAGUUACAAUAACAUUAAUUAAUUGUAGAUUAUUUAAAGCGUUUCUUACUGGUCGUUUCGGUCGGUCGUUCGAAAAUUAAUUAAAUAAAUUGAAA